UGGGGAAUAUUGGACAAUGGGGGAACCCUGAUCCAGCCAUGCCGCGUGUGUGAAGAAGGCCUUAUGGUUGUAAAGCACUUUAAGCGAGGAGGAGGCUACUGAGACUAAUACUCUUGGAUAGUGGACGUUACUCGCAGAAUAAGCACCGGCUAACUCUGUGCCAGCAGCCGCGGUAAUACAGAGGGGUGCGAGCGUUAAUCGGAUUUACUGGGCGUAAAGCGUGCGUAGGCGGCUUUUUAAGUCGGANGUGAAAUCCCCGAGUUAACUUGGGAAUUGCAUUCGAUACUGGGAAGCUAGAGUAUGGGAGAGGAUGGUAGAAUUCCAGGUGUAGCGGUGAAAUGCGUAGAGAUCUGGAGGAAUACCGAUGGCGAAGGCAGCCAUCUGGCCUAAUACUGACGCUGAGGUACGAAAGCAUGGGAGCAAACAGGAUUAGAUACCCUGGAUAGUCCAUGCCGUAAACGAUGUCUACUAGCCGUUGGGGCC
rnacentral:rRNA from 1 species